GACUCAACUCCACUGAAGUGGUUUAUAACUCGAAAGCCGUGACUGUGCUCAAAAAAGCCGGCCUCCAGUACAUCUGUGGCCCCCCUCUAACCCUGGAUCAGGCUCUUGUUCUCUGCUGCCCGCCAGCGCUCCAUGAUGGAUGGGCUUUGUGAAGAUCCUGGUGUAUUCUGAGAUCGAGAACGAGCUGCAGAGACGAUGAAGGGAGGUGAUGGAGGACAAGCUGAAGCGUGGCAGACACCCUCGCCACAAACAAGAGGAGGGAGCCCAAAGGUGCCAUUAAUCAGCUGUUCCCAAAGCAGAAUGGGCUGCCUCAUCUGACCGUCCUGAUAGAUUAUGAUGCAGAUCCUACAGGAAAUGGAACAUCUCUGGGCUUAAAUGAAGAUCGCUUUGACAAAUAUGUGUGUCCUCACGCUACCGUGAGCACAACAAAAGCAGCCCACAGUCACGGCAAACACCACAGUGGCAAUAGCAGGGCAAUGCAUUUCACUUUUUUCAGUGUUAAUCUAGAGAGGAAAUAAAGACUUCACAGGAGAACAUGGGAUUUUGUAUCUCAAUUUUAAAUCCAGGAAAUGUUUAAAUCUAAAUUCAAGUGCAGAAAGAGUAUAUACAACAA